AUGCCAUGUGAGGCUUUUAUAUAUGUGCGAAAACCUUCAGAGACCACACAGUCUUCUCUCCUUGUUUAUUCUUGUUUCUUGCCCUUUCUUCUCGGUUUCAAACCUCGUCCGUGGGAUUGGAUUUGUCAUUUGCGGGCUAAUUGGCACUCCAAGUCACUAAUCGUGCCAUUUCGCUUGAUCACGGUUUUGUCGGUUCGUCUCCAUUAUCUCAAUCAUUCGUCCAUUCAUAUACUCCAUCAGAUUCUGGCUCUUUUAGAUGCAGAAGCCGGGGGUAAUAUAAACAGGCAACGGUUAUCUUCCCUCGCCAUCCUCAAUUGCAACAUUGCCUUCACGACUGAUCUGAUCUGA
rnacentral:rRNA from 1 species